UUUGCUAUCUUUUUAUUGAAGAUAAGUUACUGUUACAGGUAGCUUAAAAGCAGCAUUUUGCUUCAAUUUUCAAAAGGAAGCACAGAAACUGUAACACUUUGAUAUCAUGGUGGUGAGAGAACACCCCAUCAUAUCAGAAAGAUACCAUAGGAAUGAUUCUCCUCUUUUUCAAAUGAAAACAUGUUUAAAACAUACUACAUUAAUACAUAACUUUUUUUCUGUACCGGGCAACAAACAACUUGAAAUCUGUAUUUCAUUUUAGGUUUUUGCAAAGGAUGAGAACGUUUACUUACAUCCUCAACAUCAACCACACCAAUAUGUGGAGAAGAGAGGUCAAUGAAGAAGGUCUUCUCCCAGUAUGGCACCAGCUGAAAGAGAAACAGAGUGAAAAUGAUUCCUGCUGUUUCCCACCCGCCCUGUUGCUGCCCUCAGUGUUUGACCACUAUUCACAGUUGGAUUUAGCUACAUUGCAUACAGUACAUACCAGCUCUCUUUCCCUAGUCAUUUGCCAGAUCAGCUAGUAUACUACCCAGUCCUAGCGGUUUAGCCUUCAUUCCUGUUUCUUGCAUGCUUUGUUUGCCAUCUCUGACUGAUUAUCUUUUUGGGUUUGACACAUCCUUUAGAAGAAAAAAAUUGCAACAUUGUAAAUAAAAGAUGUACAAUAGCUGA